UACAGAGGGUGCAAGCGUUAAUCGGAGUUACUGGGCGUAAAGGGCGCGUAGGCGGUUAUGUAAGUGAGAUGUGAAAGCCCUGGGCUUAACCUAGGAACUGCAUCUUAUACUGCAUAACUGGAGUACUGUAGAGGGUAGUGGAAUUUCCGGUGUAGCGGUGAAGUGCGUAGAGAUCGGAAGGAACACCAGUGGCGAAGGCGGCUCGCUGGGCCGGUCCUGACACUGAGGCGCGAAGGCGUGGGGAGCGAACGGG
rnacentral:rRNA from 1 species